rnacentral:rRNA from 1 species
CAUUAUCGUACAAAAUGUGAGGGGCAUGUGAGGGCUGUCGCCGACUCAAAGUCGUGCACGCCCGAGCGUGUCCUCUCACAUAAUAAUCCAUCUCACCCUUUGUGCAUCGCCGCGUGGGCACCCUUUGGGAUCAUCUCGGAGGGGGCUCGCGUUUUCACACAAACCCCCCUUUUAAAAGUGUAGAAUGACCUCAUUUAUGCGCUAACCCGCAAUCAAUACAACUUUCAACAACGGAUCUCUUGGCUCUCGCAUCGAUGAAGAACGCAGCGAAAUGCGAUACGUAAUGUGAAUUGCAGAAUUCAGUGAAUCAUCGAAUCUUUGAACGCACCUUGCGCCCCUUGGUAUUCCGAGGGGCACACCCGUUUGAGUGUCGUGAAAACCUCAACCUCUUUGGUUUCUUCUGGAGACCAAAGCAGGCUUGGACUUUGGAGGCCUUUGCUGGCACCUCUCUCUUUUGAAGGUCAGCUCCUCUUAAACGAAUUAGCAGGGUCCUCUUUGCCGAUCCUCGACGUGUGAUAAGAUGUUUCCAUGUCUUGGUUUCUGGCUCUGUCACUUUUGGGACCCGCUUCUAACCGUCUUGACCUUGCGUCGAGACAAGUGUUCGAGCAUGUCUCCCUUCUUGGGAAGCUCCCUCGACCCCACGAACCCUUG